rnacentral:misc_RNA from 1 species
UCCGGUUUAUCACCGGCAGUCUCCACAGAGUCCUCGCCAUUACGCGUUAGUAACUGUGAACAAGGGUUGCGCUCGUUGCGGGACUUAACCCAACAUCUCACGGCACGAGCUGACGACAGCCAUGCAGCAUCUGUGCACAGGCCCCGAAGGGAAGCCGGCUUUCACCGGCGGUCCUGUGCAUGUCAAGCCCUGGUAAGGUUCUUCGCGUAGCUUCGAAUUAAACCGCACGCUCCGCUGCUUGUGCGGGCCCCCGUCAAUUCCUUUGGGUUUUAGCCUUGCGGCCGUAGUCCCCAGGCGGAGCACUUAAUGCGUUAGCUGCGCUACCGGAGGGGUCGAUACCCCCGACAGCUAGUGCUCAUCGUUUACGGCGUGGACUAC